GGGGAUUUAGCUCAGCGGCAUAAGCACCUGCCUUGCAAGCAGGCAGAUCAUGAGUUCAAUCCCCA
rnacentral:tRNA from 1 species